AUGAACGCUGGCGGCGUGCCUAAUACAUGCAAGUCGAGCGAACAGACGAGGAGCUUGCUCCUCUGACGUUAGCGGCGGACGGGUGAGUAACACGUGGAUAACCUACCUAUAAGACUGGGAUAACUUCGGGAAACCGGAGCUAAUACCGGAUAAUAUAUUGAACCGCAUGGUUCAAUAGUGAAAGACGGUUUUGCUGUCACUUAUAGAUGGAUCCGCGCCGCAUUAGCUAGUUGGUAAGGUAACGGCUUAUCAAGGCAACGAUGCGUAGCCGACCUGAGAGGGUGAUCGGCCACACUGGAACUGAGACACGGUCCAGACUCCUACGGGAGGCAGCAGUAGGGAAUCUUCCGCAAUGGGCGAAAGCCUGACGGAGCAACGCCGCGUGAGUGAUGAAGGUCUUCGGGUCGUAAAACUCUGUUAUUAGGGAAGAACAAAUGUGUAAGUAACUAUGCACGUCUUGACGGUACCUAAUCAGAAAGCCACGGCUAACUACGUG
rnacentral:rRNA from 1 species